rnacentral:rRNA from 1 species
GACGAACGCUGGCGGCGUGCUUAACACAUGCAAGUCGAACGGAAAGGCCCUGCUUUUGUGGGGUGCUCGAGUGGCGAACGGGUGAGUAACACGUGAGUAACCUUCCCUUUACUUUGGGAUAACUUCAGGAAACUGGGGCUAAUACCGGAUAGGAGCUCCUGCUGCAUGGUGGGGGUUGGAAAGUUUCGGCGGUUGGGGAUGGACUCGCGGCUUAUCAGCUUGUUGGGGGGGUAGUGGCUUACCAAGGCUUUGACGGGUAGCCGGCCUGAGAGGGUGACCGGCAACAUUGGGCCUGAGAUACGGCCCAGACUCCUACGGGAGGCAGCAGUGGGGAAUAUUGCACAAUGGGCGGAAGCCUGAUGCAGCAACGCCGCGUGCGGGAUGACGGCCUUCGGGUUGUAAACCGCUUUCGCCUGUGACGAAGCGUGAGUGACGGUAAUGGGUAAAGAAGCACCGGCUAACUACGUG